rnacentral:misc_RNA from 1 species
AACGCACCUUGCGCCUUGUGGUAUUCCACAAGGCAUGCCCGUUUGAGUAUCAUUAAAUCAUCAACCUCAAAUCCUUUGUGUUUUCGAGGCUUGGUCUUGAGGGUUUGCAGGCCUUUACCGGUCAGCUCCCUUUAAAUCUAUUAGCGAGACUUCCCUGUGUUGACUGUCUCUUGGCGUGAUAAUUAUCUGCGUCAAACUUGACGGUCUCGUUGGGCUUGCUUCUAAUCGUCUUCGGACAAAAGGAUCGAAGCGCAUAUAUGCGCCUCUUUUCAAACCUUUUUUGAUCUCAAAUCGGGUAGGAUUACCCGCUGAACUUAA